rnacentral:rRNA from 1 species
GACGAACGCUGGCGGCGUGCUUAACACAUGCAAGUCGAACGAUGAAGCUGGAGCUUGCUCUGGUGGAUUAGUGGCGAACGGGUGAGUAACCCGUGAGUAACCUGCCCUGGACUCUGGGAUAACCCCGAGAAAUCGGAGCUAAUACCGGAUAGGACCUCGGAUCGCAUGAUCUGGGGUGGAAAGUUCUUCGGUCUGGGAUGGACUCGCGGCCUAUCAGCUUGUUGGUGAGGUAAUGGCUCACCAAGGCGUCGAAGGGUAGCCGGCCUAAGAGGGUGACCGGCCACACUGGGACUGAGACACGGCCCAGACUCCUCCGGGAGGCAGCAGUGGGGAAUAUUGCACAAUGGGCGCAAGCCUGAUGCAGCAACGCCGCGUGCGGGAUGACGGCCUUCGGGUUGUAAACCGCUUUUAGUAAGGAAGAAGCCGCAAGGUGACGGUACUUGCAGAAAAAGGACCGGCUAACUACGUGCCAGCCGCCGCCGUAACAC